GCCUAAUACAUGCAAGUCGAACGGUCUUUCUAUGGAAGCUUGCUUCCACUGAGAAGAUAGUGGCGAACGGGUGAGUAACACGUGGGUAACCUGCCCAUAAGAGGGGGGAUAACAUCCGGAAACGGGUGCUAAUACCGCAUAGUUUUCUUGAUCGCAUGAUUGAGAAAGGAAAGACGGCCUUUGUGCUGUCGCUUAUGGAUGGACCCGCGGCGUAUUAGUUAGUUGGUGAGGUAACGGCUCACCAAGACGAUGAUACGUAGCCGACCUGAGAGGGUGAUCGGCCACAUUGGGACUGAGACACGGCCCAAACUCCUACGGGAGGCAGCAGUAGGGAAUCUUCCGCAAUGGACGAAGUCUGACGGAGCAACGCCGCGUGAGUGAAGAAAAGGUUUUCGGAUCGUAAAACUCUGUUGUCAGAGAAGAACAAGUUGGAGAGUAACUGCUCCAGCCUUGACGGUAUCUGACCAGAAAGCCACGGCUAACUACGUGCCAGCCGCCGC
rnacentral:rRNA from 1 species